rnacentral:rRNA from 1 species
CUAUCAUGCAGUCGAGCGAACGGACGAGAAGCUUGCUUCUCUGAUGUUAGCGGCGGACGGGUGAGUAACACGUGGAUAACCUACCUAUAAGACUGGGAUAACUUCGGGAAACCGGAGCUAAUACCGGAUAAUAUUUUGAACCGCAUGGUUCAAAAGUGAAAGACGGUCUUGCUGUCACUUAUAGAUGGAUCCGCGCUGCAUUAGCUAGUUGGUAAGGUAACGGCUUACCAAGGCAACGAUGCAUAGCCGACCUGAGAGGGUGAUCGGCCACACUGGAACUGAGACACGGUCCAGACUCCUACGGGAGGCAGCAGUAGGGAAUCUUCCGCAAUGGGCGAAAGCCUGACGGAGCAACGCCGCGUGAGUGAUGAAGGUCUUCGGAUCGUAAAACUCUGUUAUUAGGGAAGAACAUAUGUGUAAGUAACUGUGCACAUCUUGACGGUACCUAAUCAGAAAGCCACGGCUAACUACGUGC